rnacentral:rRNA from 1 species
AUGAGCGAACACGUGGAGGGAUUGCCGGAGGCGCUAGAUGAUGAUGAUCAUUCUUCUGCGUCUUCGGAGUCAAGCGAAGAAGAAGAAGAUGUUCCUCCUCAGAGGGCGGUCGCAGCGGUACUGCAACCUGGGUUUUUACAGGAUAUGAGCAUCACCAACGAAUUUCACUCUGCUUCUGGCCUAGGAGCGGGGAGCCUGGAGGUUGGGCAAGUUUUCCCAGACAAGAAGUCUGCUUACCAGGCAAUGGGUAGCUAUGCAAUCGGCAUCCACCGCCAGCAUAGAGUGAAGCAGUCUGAUAAAAAAGAGUUGAAGGUCAUAUGCAUCCACACCGCGAAAGGUUGCCGCGGAAGAGUUCUCGCUAGACUGAAGCCUGGGGUAUAUCAGUCAUGGCAUAUCACAAAAAUAGUGGAGCAUACCUGUGAGCAAACUGGGACUCUUUCAGAUCACUGCAAUGUGACAGCAAAAUAUGUGGCACAGACAAUGGAAACAAUUGUGUAG